AGAUGGUUAAUACAUAAAAAGUAUAUUUGAUUUCGAAUCAAAAAGAGUUUCAUUUAACAUCAUCUU
rnacentral:tRNA from 1 species